rnacentral:lncRNA from 1 species
GUUGUGGGUCCUUCUAGUUGUGGCAUGUGGGACGCUGCCUCAGCGUGGUUUGAUGAGCAGUGCCAUGUCCGCGCCCAGGAUUCGAACCAACGAAACACUGGGCCGCCUGCAGCAGAGCGCGCGAACUUAACCACUCGGCCACGGGGCCAGCCCCGUGAUUCAGUAUUCUUAACUGGAAUGCUCAUCCGCGGUGACGUGCUUGCUGGGAGAGAAUCCAUUACCAUUUCCCAAAGGCUGCGUCGGAGGCUCAGGUUCUAACACUGGAAUUCUUUCAAGUCUGUCUGCUGUUGGCAGAUCUAACGUAAAGGCUCUUAUAUCUGCUCUGGGGAGCUCAGCCUCCAACCAGCUAAGAUACUGGGAAGAAAGCAAAUAUUUAUCCUUGGACAUUUUUCAUGGAAAUCAAAUUAAUUUUUCCUCUCGAUUUUCUUUAUGUUGGUAUUCAGUUUAUGGC